AUUGAACGCUGGCGGCAUGCUUUACACAUGCAAGUCGAACGGUAGGGGGCAACCCCUUGAGAGUGGCGAACGGGUGAGUAAUGCAUCGGAACGUGCCCAGUCAUGGGGGAUAACGCAGCGAAAGCUGUGCUAAUACCGCAUACGAUCUCUGGAUGAAAGCGGGGGACCGAAAGGCCUCGCGCGAUUGGAGCGGCCGAUGUCAGGUUAGGUAGUUGGUGGGGUAAAGGCUCACCAAGCCAACGAUCUGUAGCUGGUCUGAGAGGACGACCAGCCACACUGGGACUGAGACACGGCCCAGAGUCCGACUGGAGGCAGCAGUGGGGAAUUUUGGACAAUGGGCGCAAGCCUGAUCCAGCAAUGCCGCGUGCAGGAAGAAGGCCUUCGGGUUGUAAACUGCUUUUGUACGGAACGAAAAGGUCUGGGUUAAUACCCUGGGCACAUGACGGUACCGUAAGAAUAAGCACCGGCUAACUACGUGCCAGCCGCCGCCGUAA
rnacentral:rRNA from 1 species